rnacentral:rRNA from 1 species
GAUGAACGCUGGCGGCGUGCUUAACACAUGCAAGUCGAACGAAGCUGUUAAAAGGAAGUCUUCGGAUGGAAUUUUAACAGACUUAGUGGCGGACGGGUGAGUAACGCGUGGAUAACCUGCCUUAUACAGGGGGAUAACGGAGAGAAAUUUCCGCUAAGACCGCAUAAGACCACAGCACCGCAUGGUGCAGGGGUAAAAUAUUAAUAGGUAUAAGAUGGAUCCGCGUCCGAUUAGCUGGUUGGUGAGGUAGAGGCUCACCAAGGCGACGAUCGGUAGCCGGCCUGAGAGGGUGAACGGCCACAUUGGGACUGAGACACGGCCCAAACUCCUACGGGAGGCAGCAGUGGGGAAUAUUGGACAAUGGGGGAAACCCUGAUCCAGCGACGCCGCGUGAGUGAAGAAGUAUUUCGGUAUGUAAAGCUCUAUCAGCAGGGAAGAAAAUG